ACCACUGACUUCGCUAAAGCAGAGAGAGCCUGGCUACAGAUGCUCUUAGCUGUCAGAACCCUGGAUAUAACAUCAGAUCUUCCUAGCACUUCCAGCCCACCUGUCAGACCUGCAUAUGGGAGCCUGGCAGAGAAAGGACAGGCAGGGCUGGCAGACAGAGAGAAUAAAUAGGAGGAAAAAUCUGGGAAGAAGAGAUUAAGGAUCGAGAAAAGGAGAAGAAGAUGCUGGGGGCCAGCCACACAGCCACACAGCCAGACAUGGAAUUUGAAGGAAAGAGAAAAUAUACAGAAAUAGAAAAAGACUACUCCAUACCAGAGUGAAUCAGGAGCCAAAUUCCAUUUAGGAAAUUGAAGG